AGGUGAUGAUAAUGGUGAUGAUGAUGAUGGUGGUAAUGAUGAUGGUGAUUGUGAUGAUCACCAUCAUCACAUUAACUACCAUA
rnacentral:miRNA from 1 species